UUUUCACUGAAAAGAAUUUCUACAAAAUCGCAUUUCUCAUCUUCCCGGAGCUCUACUCAGUUCUCCGAUCAUCACCGUCAAAAUGUACAGAUGCGUAUCGUCUCGUCUCAGCUCUCUUAAGGCACGUCAAGGCAACAGGGUCUUGACAAGAUUUUCAAGUUCAGCUGCUGUUGCAACCAAGCCAUCUGGGGGUCUUUUUAGUUGGAUAACUGGUGAUACGUCAAGUUCAGUGACUCCCUUGGACUUUCCCCUCAAUGAUGUUAAACUCUCGCCACCAUUACCUGAUUAUGUAGAACCUGCAAAGACUCGGAUAACGACUCUCGCUAAUGGUGUCAAAGUGGCCUCUGAAGCAUCGGUGAAUCCUGCUGCCUCAAUUGGCCUCUAUGUUGACUGUGGCUCUAUUUACGAGACACCAGCUUCAUAUGGAGCCACCCACCUCUUGGAACGCAUGGCCUUCAAAAGCACGUUAAACCGGAGUCACUUGCGUAUUGUACGAGAAAUUGAAGCAAUUGGUGGUAAUGUAACAGCUUCAGCCUCACGAGAGCAUAUGAUCUACACUUACGAUGCUUUGAAAACUUAUGUACCACAAAUGGUGGAGAUGCUUGUUGACUGUGUUAGAAAUCCUGCAUUCCUGGAUUGGGAAGUUAAAGAGCAGCUUGAGAAGGUUAAAGCUGAGAUUAGCGAGUACUCCAAAAACCCUCAACACUUGCUUUUGGAGGCAGUUCAUUCUGCUGGUUAUGCUGGUCCAUAUGGGAAUUCUCUGAUGGCCACAGAAGCUACAAUAAACAGGUUAAACAGCACAGUGCUGGAGGAGUUUGUAGCUGCGAAUUAUACUGCUCCUCGGAUGGUUCUUGCUGCAUCUGGUGUUGAACAUGAAGAAUUCUUAAAAGUUGCAGAACCUCUUCUGUCUGAUUUACCUAAGGUGUCUGCCACUGAGGAGCCUAAACCUGUGUAUGUGGGAGGAGAUUACCGCUGUCAAGCCGAUGCAGAGAUGACUCAUUUUGCCCUUGCCUUUGAAGUUCCCGGUGGCUGGAUGUCUGAAAAAGAAUCAAUGACUUUAACAGUUCUUCAGAUGCUUAUGGGAGGAGGUGGAUCUUUCUCAGCUGGCGGUCCUGGAAAAGGGAUGUACUCGAGAUUAUAUCUUCGUGUCUUAAAUCAGUACCCGCAGAUUCACGCAUUCUCUGCAUUCAGCAGCAUUUACAAUAACACUGGAUUAUUUGGAAUUCAAGGAACUACGGGCUCUGAUUUUGGGCCUCAAGCUGUUGAUGUAGCAGUUAAAGAGCUUAUCGCGGUAGCAAACCCUAGUGAAGUCGACCAAGUACAGCUAAACCGUGCUAAACAGGCAACAAAGUCUGCCAUUCUGAUGAACUUGGAAUCCCGGAUGGUUGCAUCAGAAGAUAUCGGCAGACAACUUUUGACAUAUGGAGAGAGGAAACCAGUGGAGCAUUUCUUGAAAGCCAUUGAUGCAGUUUCAGCAAAAGAUAUUGCUUCCGUUGUGCAGAAGCUUAUUUCUUCUCCUCUGACCAUGGCAUCCUACGGAGAUGUUCUCUCCCUCCCAUCAUACGAUGCAGUCAGCAGCAGGUUCCGUUCCAAAUAAAUCCAUUGUCAACCACGAAGUACACAGCAAGACUAUCAUGCUGUUAUUUUUUAGGUUUUUAGAAAAUCUUUACGCGUGUGGCUAUAAUUUGCUGAAAAUAAAGAGGGGUUACGAGCUAUCGAUAAUUCAGCUUUGUCAAAGCUUUAAGAUAAGGAGCAUCAUCAUCUGGGCACAUGGUUUUUGUGUAUACAGUUUGUAAUUCAUUCAGCUUUCUUUGAUAUUUUGAUGACAUAAUGUCAUAGGGCAUUACUCCUCUAGUUAACAAUUUUGAGAAUUCCUCUUCACCCAAAAUGGGAAGAAAUACUAAUUUUAUCUCAAUAUUGUGAAUCCAAUGAAUUUUAUAACCAAG
rnacentral:misc_RNA from 1 species